rnacentral:rRNA from 1 species
GUAUGGUCCGCCCGUCGGAUUCAGUCCGCCUGCGCGGCGGGGCCGUCGGUUGCGCAUCCCUCGUGGGAGCGCGCCGGCGUCUCGAUCGUCGUGCGGCGGCCGUACUUUCGGCGGGCGGAGCGCCACGACCGGUUCGCGGGCGGCGAGAAACUCUCGGGCAAGGUGACCUCCGCCUCGGCGCAGGAGCAUACAGGCCCGGCGAGCGCAGGCCCGUCCGCGGACCGAGGAAGACCGUCGCGGUGCGGCGUCGACCGCCCGUCGUGGGCGCGCGUUCGAAUCGGGGGGACUGGUUUCAGUGCCCUCGGACCGCGUGCGUCUAUCGGCGGGACGGCCCGGCGUGGCGCCUGGGGUCGGUGGCGAAACGGCCGGCAACCUGUCCGACCCGUCUUGAAACACGGACCAAGGAGUCUAACAUGUGCGCGAGUCGUUGGGCGUUACGAAACCCGAAGGCGCAAUGAAAGUGAAGGCCCGGUCUACGGCCGGCCUGGGUGGGAUCCGGACGGUCGCGGCCGUCCGGCGCACCACCGGCCCGUCUCGUUCGCCACGUCGAUGAGGCGGAGCAAGAGCGUACACGUUGGGACCCGAAAGAUGGUGAACUAUGCCUGAGUAGGACGAAGCCAGAGGAAACUCUGGUGGAGGUCCGCAGCGAUUCUGACGUGCAAAUCGAUCGUCAAACUUGGGUAUAGGGGCGAAAGACUAAUCGAACCAUCUAGUAGCUGGUUCCUGUCGAAGUUUCCCUCAGGAUAGCUGGCGCUCGUCGUGAGCAGUUUUAUCCGGUAAAGCGAAUGACUGGAGGCCUUGGGGACGAAACGUCCUCAACCUACUCUCAAACUUUAAAUGGGUAAGACGUCCGACUCGCUCG